UCGUGGCUGUUUUCCAAGAUGGCGACUCCGGACUAUACACCGUUUGUGUUCCUCCUGUUAUUAUUUCAAAGCGGCGUUUGGGGCGUUCCCGUCUGUCAAACACCCCAAGAAAGUCCUACAUGUGGAUACAAGUCAUGUCACGCUACCAAGCCUGGGAUGUUGAACGUGCAUCUGGUUCCCCACACCCACGACGACGUCGGCUGGCUCAAGACCGUGGACCAAUACUUUUAUGGAGACCGUAAUGACAUCCAGCAUGCAGGGGUGCAGUACAUUCUGGACUCUGUGGUGGACCAGCUGCUGAAGAACCCUGACAGACGCUUCAUCUACGUAGAGACGGCCUUCUUCUACCGCUGGUGGAAACAACAGACUGAUGACAUGCAGAACACUGUCAAACAGCUGGUCAAUGAGGGGCGGUUGGAGUUUGUGAACGGGGGCUGGUGUAUGAGUGACGAGGCGACCACCCACUACAGUGCAGUCAUAGACCAGAUGACCAUGGGCCUGCGGUUCCUCAACGACACAUUCGGACACUGCGGUCGCCCCCGCGUCGCCUGGCACAUCGACCCCUUCGGGCACGCCCGCGAGCACGCCUCCAUGUUCGCACAGAUGGGUUAUGACGGCUUCUUCUUUGGUCGUCUGGACUACCAGGAUCGUAACAGGAGGAUGGUAGCCAGGGAACAGGAGAUGUUGUGGAGGGCCAGCGAGAGCCUCACCCCCCCUAUGGCUGACCUCUUCACUGGCAUUGGUAUAUAAAACCAACCACAUCAUAAUGACUAUGGGGUCAGACUUCCAGUAUGAGAACGCCAACCUGUGGUAUAAGAACCUGGACAAGCUCAUUCGCUACGUCAACCAGAUGCAGAGUAACGGCUCUGAAGUCAACGUUCUCUACUCUACACCCUCCUGUUACCUACAGGAGCUACACAGGGCUAACCUCACAUGGCCUCUAAAAGGAGAUGAUUUCUUCCCCUAUGCUGACUCAGCUCAUGACUUCUGGACAGGAUAUUUCACCAGCCGUCCAGCCCUGAAACGCUAUGAGAGGAUCAGCAACAGCUACCUGCAGACGUGUAAGCAGCUGGAGGUCCUUGGUGGUCCCAUCUCAAGGAAAGGUCCUUUUGGAGCUGGAGACAGUGAGACCCUGAAGAAGGCCAUGGCAGUGGCUCAGCAUCACGACGCCGUAUCCGGGACGGAAAAGCAACACGUUGCCAACGACUACGCUAGGAAACUGGCCAACGGCUGGGCACACUGCCAGGUGUUGGUCAGUAACACUCUAUCCUCUCUGAGUGGAUCAUCUGCUCCUCGUGUUUACUGUGAACACCUCAACAUCAGUGUGUGUCCCCUCACAGAGACCAGCAAGAAGUUUUCAGUGAACGUGUACAACCCUCUAGCUCGUCCAGUCAGUUGGCCAGUUAGACUGCCAGUCAACGGGACGGCCUACAGUAUCUCAGAUGCUAAGGGCAAGGCUGUGGACAGUCAGGUUGGUCUGUUGUCGUUGUUCUGAUGUCGUUGUUCAAUAACCUUUGUUAUGACAGUUAUGUAUUGUGUGUGUGUAUUUGCGUUUUGUGAGAGUACCCCACUCUAUCCCCACCCCCCCCCAGGUGGUCCCAGUGUCCCAGGCCACAGCGGCGGUGCGACGGGGCAGGGGGUACGCUGUCAACGAGCUGUUGUUCCAGGUUCAGGCCCCUCCCCUGGGCUACAGCACCUACUCUGUCUCCCUGCUUCAGAACGGCCCUCCAUCUCCUCCAUCUCCACUGCCCAGGGCUCCCACGGCUGUACAGAACAAGGUCUGGGUCUUAUGGCUGGACACAAAUGUACUUUCUACUAUGAAAGCAAAUAUUUGAUGUAUUGAUUUCAUGUCACCAAUGGAGACCAAUAUUCCAAAAUGUACAAUGUCUCCGUUAAUGAUGACAUAUCAAUGUUGGAAAGGUGUUUUAAGUUUGGACAGUUUUGUAUCUAGGUUUUUAGGUUUUGAUGUCACCUGUUCUGUCACUUUGUGUCUCCUCUAGUUUCUCAGGGUGACCUUUGACCCAGAGACUGGUCUCCUCAGCAGCCUCAGUAACCUGGAGACACAACAGACUGUCAAACUGUCACAGAACUUCUACUGGUACAAUGCCAGCGAUGGUAACAACUCAGAGAGUAUUCAGAUGUCAGGGGCCUACAUCUUCAGACCGAACACCUCUACCCCCUUCAUCAUCAGCAAGACGGCUAAGAUAGAAACACUACAGAAUUCCGUGGUGCAGGAGGUGAGACAGUGGUUCAGUCCCUGGGUCUCUCAGGUGGUCCGUCUCUACACAGACAGCAGGGCUCUGGAAUUGGAGUGGACUGUCGGCCCGGUGCCUAUAGGUGAUGACCUGGGUAAAGAGGUGAUAAGUCGCCUAGACAGCAGCAUCAACUCCUCUGGUGUCUUCUACACUGACUCUAAUGGCAGAGAGGUGCUGCAGAGACGGAAAGACUACCGGCCCACGUGGAACCUGAGACAGUCUGAGCCAAUUGCUGGCAACUAUUAUCCAAUCAACUCUAGAGCUUACAUUAAGGAUGACAAGGACCAGCUGACUGUAGUGACGGACCGUUCUCAGGGAGGGGGCAGCAUCCAGGAUGGAUCACUGGAGAUCAUGGUAACACACACAGUCUCUCACUACUCUUCAUUUUUCAUGUGGUAGGAUUUUGGCAUCAAAGACAUCUGUUGUGUGUGUUUCACGUCUCACCUCUUUCCCCCGGCUCCACACCCUGUCUAUCUUUAUCACUGUCACAUCUGACAUACUCCAUCCCCCCCAGCUCCACCGUAGGUUGCUGUACGAUGACGUCCGGGGUGUAGGUGAGCCCCUCAACGAGACGUCUGACAUUUACCCAGAAGGCCUGGUGGUUCGUGGUCGCCACCUCCUCUCCCUCAGCCCCCCUGCCACGGCUGCUGACACACACCGCCCACUAGCACAGGAAGUGGUACUGCAGCCUCUCAUCACAUUCACCGACGGAGAGCUGCACCCGAGUACCAGGCUGGAGUUCUCUGGGCUACAGGCAGUGCUGCCCCCUGCUGUUCACCUGUUGACAGUGUCUCAGUGGGACCAGGACACAGUGCUGCUCAGACUGGAGCAUCAGUACCAAGCUUCAGAGAGCAAGGAGCAUUCCCAGCCUGUUACUGUUAAUCUGCAGAAGCUGUUCUCCACUCUGGACAUGCUGGGCGUGUCCGAGAUGAACCUGUCAGCCAAUCAGUGGAAGGAUGAGAUGACGCGUCUGGACUGGAAGGCGGAGUCAGGUGAGAAGCCCCUGCCGAAGAGAGGGGGAGACCCCUCUGUGUGGGAGGUGAGCCUCAAGCCCAUGGAGAUACGCACCUUCCUGCUCCGUGUCAGGCAGAGAUAGUCAAUCACCAACCUCCGUUCCAGAACUAGCCAAUGAUCAAUCCCUGUGGCUUAGCAAUUAUGAACUCACUGCCUUGAUUGGAUGUAAAUAAUUUGGAGUCUGAGUACAUGAAGAUGAAUCAAAUGAACAGGAUUUCUUGUCAUAAUUGAGUUGACCGGAGUGGGAUUUAAAUUAGCUCCUAUAAAAGAGCUUCUUUGAAGCUGCUGAACAAUUCCUUUAUGUUGUAAUUUUAGUGCCAAUACCACAACCUUUCUAGUAUUUCAAAGCCAUUUUCAGUAACUACUUAUUACUAAAUCGUCAUUUGUCUCUAACAUCAAUAAACUAUUCACACACACACACCUGUUACCAAUA